CCAGCCUGCCGCGUGUGUGAAGAAGGUCUUCGGAUUGUAAAGCACUUUAAGUUGGGAGGAAGGGCAGUAACCUAAUACUUUGCUAGUUUUGACGUUACCGACAGAAUAAGCACCGGCUAACUCUGUGCCAGCAGCCGCGGUAAUAU
rnacentral:rRNA from 1 species